CCGGCGACCGGCGGACGGGUGCAUAACGCGUAUGUAACCUACCUUUGACAGGGGGAUAACAUCGAGAAAUUGGUACUAAUACCCCAUAACAUCACCGGAGGCAUCUUCGGUGGUUGAAAACUCAGGUGGUCAGAGAUGGACAUGCGUUGUAUUAGCUAGUUGGUGAGGUAACGGCUCACCAAGGCGACGAUACAUAGGGGGACUGAGAGGUCAACCCCCCACAUUGGUACUGAGACACGGACCAAACUCCUACGGAAGGCAGCAG
rnacentral:rRNA from 1 species